rnacentral:rRNA from 1 species
AGUGAACGCUGGCGGUAUGCCUAACACAUGCAAGUCGAACGGCAGCACAGUAAGUUCUUUCUCUUACGGUUUGCGAGUGUCGUACGUUUGAUGUAUACAUCGUAAUCUACUUUUUCGUGUGUGUUAUCGUAGGUAAACUUACGCUACUACCUCAUACGUCCUACGGGUGUAAUCAUUGUUUCUUCUGACCUUUCGCGAUUGUAUGAGCCGAUGUCGGAUUAGCUAGUUGGCGGGGUAAAGGCCCACCAAGGCGACUAUCCGUAGCUGGUCUGAGAGGAUGAUCAGAAAAACUGGAACUGAGACACGGUCAAGACUACUAAGGGAGGCAGAAGUGGGGAAUAUUGGACAAUGGGCGCAAGCCUGAUACAGCAAUACCGCGUGGGUGAAGAAGGAAUUAGGGUUGUAAAGCCAUUUUGUUGGGAAAGAAAAGAAGCAGGUUAAUAAGCAGCUGUUAUGACGGUACCCAAAGAAAAAGCACCGGCUAACUUCGUG